rnacentral:rRNA from 1 species
UACGUAGGGACCAAGCGUUGUCCGGAAUCAUUGGGCGUAAAGAGCGUGUAGGCGGCUUGUUAAGUCUUGCGUGAAAUCUCGGGGCUCAACCCCGAGCGGUCGUGAGAAACUGGCAGGCUAGAGUGCGGGAGAGGAGAGUGGAAUUCCUGGUGUAGCGGUGAAAUGCGCAGAUAUCAGGAGGAACACCGGUGGCGAAGGCGGGUCUCUGGGCCGAUACUGACACUGAGGAGCGAAAGCGUGGGGAGCGAACAGG